GCGCUCGUAGCUCAGAUGGAUAGAGCAUCGCUUUCCUAAAGCGGAGGUCGCAGGUUCGAAUCCUGCCGGGCGCG
rnacentral:tRNA from 1 species